rnacentral:lncRNA from 1 species
ACCUCUAAAGGAGCAGCCGCUGAGCCAUCUUUAAAAUAAAUCUUUAAAAAGGAAUAAACUUAGUGUGAGCUAAGCCAAGCAAAGACGGGAUUGAUAGGGACUUUUAUCAGUGCUGGCUGUUCCUGAGAAGGCGAGUGACCUCAGGAGGCAGGACUAUAGGGAAUACCUGGUCUGCAGCGUGAUGAGGGCACCAGGCAGACCGUUGAGGCAAAGAGAUGUGCUUGAGUUGAUUUUGUGCGGGGACUGGGGAGUGAACCCAGGCCUCAAGCAUGCUGAACACAUACUCUAUAGCAGAGCUAGACCCCAGUCCAAACAAGGUUGUGUAGGAAGGGCAGUGGGCCUUGCCCUGCCUAGUGUUUCCUAAAAUGUAGCUCUCGAGAUUCUGUUAGAACUCAGGCUGUUUCAGAAAUCAUGGUUUACUGGCUAUAAUUAGGAAUAGCAAGUCAUUGUUUCAUAGUGAUAUUAAAUUUUCUGUUUUAAAUAAAUUUGCUUCAGAAAAUCAACAAUUCAAAGAAAUGCUCAGUGAAGGAUAGGGCAGAUGGUAUGUGACUGCAGCACCCAAGCAAGCAGCUGUGGGAGGCACUGGCCCCGUGGCCUUUGAGAAACUUGGGACCAGGUAGGUGACACCAGACUGGGAAACUUGAGAGUGCCCGUGGUUGACCACAGGGCCUGGACCAGCCAUAAACGCAAUCAGACUUCUACCGUAUCUCACUGCUUCUAGUUUUAAAACAAAAGCCAGCAUUAAGAUUUUUCCCUCAGAAAUCUCCUCGUUGGAAAAUCCUGGCACCUGAUUCAAAUUUUGAAAAACAUUGUACAAUGUGUCCAUAGGGGUCCCAUUGGUGACGCCUGCUCCAGAUGGUGAGAAAGAGACUCAACUCCAGACUGACAGCUCUGCCUGCUACAGCAGGGCUGAGUGAAAAUGGGGAGGGGGCUAGAGAGCGAAGGCCAGGCAGAACCGAGCCAGAGGUAAUGCAGAGGUAGUGGACAGCCCUACCUUUUAAGCAAGGGAUUCAGUUGGUUAGUUUUGGGGGAAUUUUUGUUGUGUGUAUGUGUGUGUUCCUGUGUGCACAUAAGAGGAGGUAGGAAUGUGGGUUUACCUUCCCUCCUUGAUGGAGACAAGGUCUCCUUGCUGAAGCCAAACUAGCUGGUCCUAGAGAUUCUUGGGAUUCUCUUGUCUGUGCCUCCCACUCCCCCAGUGGAGCAUCAUGGGAGUUACAGACACUUGUGCCAGCGUGUCUGGCUUGGGGGGUGGGGUGGGCAGGGGGGCUGAACUCAGAGCAUCAGGUUUGCCCAGCAAGCACUCUUUCCCAUUGAGGCUCCAGAGCCACCCAAGCAAAGGUGGGUUUUAAAUCCCGUGCCAAUUAGUUGUAUGGAUCUUCCAACAUAACUUUACUGACCUCAGGGAAGAGGGAGAUGUGGUUUUCUGUGUGAGCUAUAAGCAGCAGAGAGUGGCUUGGUGCCUAACCUAGGAUAAAUGAUUGGAGAAUAACUAGUAACUCCCCACUCCCCCACCCCACUACACACACACACACACACACACACACACACACACACACACACACACACCUCUGAGUCUGUUUCUGUUCCUGCAUUCCCCGUCCUGGAAUAAUUCAACACAAAGUGAUGCUCAUUAGAUGAAAAUCUCGAGCCAGCAGCUGAGCUUUUAAAAAGAUGAGUUCUUAAGUAAUUUGUCCCAAAGAUGGGCUUGACAUGAAGUUGGCAGAAUGAUUAGCAGGUCAUUGCGUGGGAGC